AUUGAACGCUGGCGGCAGGCCUAACACAUGCAAGUCGAACGAGUGGCGGACGGGUGAGUAAUGUCUGGGAACCUGCCUGAUGGAGGGGGAUAACUAAUGGAAACGGUAGCUAAUACCACAUACCAUAAGAUGUGCCACGACGGGAUUAGCUUGUGGGGGGGGUAACGGCUCACCAAGUCGACGAUCCCUAGCUGUUCUGAGAGGAUGACCAGCCACACUGGAACUGAGACACGGUCCAGACUCCGACGGUAUGCAGCAGUGGGGAAUCUUGCGCAAUGGGCGCAAGCCUGAUGCAGCCAUGCCGCGUGUAUUAAGAAGGUCUUCGGGUUGUAAAGUACUGUCAGCGGGGAGGCGUUACCCGCACAAGAAGCACCGGCUAACUCCGUGCCAGCAGCCGCGGUAAUUC
rnacentral:rRNA from 1 species